UACGGAGGGUGCAAGCGUUAUCCGGAUUUACUGGGUUUAAAGGGUGCGUAGGUGGGUCUGUAAGUCAGUGGUGAAAUCUCCGGGCUUAACCCGGAAAUUGCCAUUGAUACUAUAGGUCUUGAAUCAUCUGGAGGUAAGCGGAAUAUGUCAUGUAGCGGUGAAAUGCUUAGAUAUGACAUAGAACACCAAUUGCGAAGGCAGCUUACUACGGAUGUAUUGACACUGAGGCACGAAAGCGUGGGGAUCAAACAGG
rnacentral:rRNA from 1 species